rnacentral:rRNA from 1 species
CGGCCGCGUCGACGGGACCAUGCACUGGGGGGAUGGGCCCGCGGCGUAUUAGCUAGUUGGAGAGGUAAUGGCUCCCCAAGGCGACGAUACGUAGCCGACCUGAGAGGGUGAUCGGCCACACUGGGACUGAGACACGGCCCAGACUCCUACGGGAGGCAGCAGUAGGGAAUCAUCCGCAAUGGACGAAAGUCUGACGGUGCAACGCCGCGUGAGUGAUGAAGGUUUUCGGAUCGUAAAGCUCUGUUGUGAGGGAAGAACAAGGGCGGUUCUAACAGGGCCGCCCCCUGACGGUACCUCACCAGAAAGCCCCGGCUAACUACGUGCCAGCAGCCGCGGUAAUACGUAGGGGGCAAGCGUUGUCCGGAAUUAUUGGGCGUAAAGCGCGCGCAGGCGGUUCUUUAAGUCUGAUGUGAAAGCCCACGGCUCAACCGUGGAGGGUCAUUGGAAACUGGAGACUGGAAUGCAGAAGAGGAGAGUGGAAUUCCACGUGUAGCGGUGAAAUGCGUAGAUAUGUGGGUCGACGCGGCGCGAUU